rnacentral:rRNA from 1 species
CCUACGGGUGGCAGCAGUGGGGAAUAUUGGACAAUGGGGGCAACCCUGAUCCAGCCAUGCCGCGUGUGUGAAGAAGGCCCUCGGGUUGUAAAGCACUUUCAGUGAGGAAGAACGCCUGGUGGUUAAUACCCAUCAGGAAAGACAUCACUCACAGAAGAAGCACCGGCUAACUCCGUGCCAGCAGCCGCGGUAAUACGGAGGGUGCGAGCGUUAAUCGGAAUUACUGGGCGUAAAGCGCGCGUAGGUGGCUUGAUAAGCCGGUUGUGAAAGCCCCGGGCUCAACCUGGGAACGGCAUCCGGAACUGUCAAGCUAGAGUGCAGGAGAGGAAGGUAGAAUUCCCGGUGUAGCGGUGAAAUGCGUAGAGAUCGGGAGGAAUAACAGUGGCGAAGGCGGCCUUCUGGACUGACACUGACACUGAGGUGCGAAAGCGUGGGUAGCAAACAGGAUUAGAUACCCCAGUAGUC